UUUAAAAAGUACUUUUUUUAAUUUUUGUAAAAAAACUAAAGAAUAUUUAAAAUGAAAUCUAACAGAAACUGCAAAGGAGAAUUAUUAAAAAUUAAAUAGUAAGUUUAGUGUACCUUUUGUAUAAGGGAUUUUUUAAAAAAAAUAAAAUUUUAUUUUUCUCGAAAUUAAUUGAUCUAUUUAGAAAUUACAAAAAUCUGUAUUUCAAAAUAGAAUUUUAAUUUUUAAAUAGAAGUGAAAUGCUUGUCAAAAUUAAUGAUAUCUAGUUAUUAAAAAUAAUUAAAUAUUUGCUUAUUUUCAAAUUAUAAUAAUUUAUAAAAAAAAUAAGAAAAAAAUUAAGGGAUAAGCUUUAAUUUUAUUUAAAAUAAAUUAAAGCUUCUUUUAAAAAAGAAUUAAAAUUUUUCUAAAUAUUUUAAUAAAUAAUUUAAAUUUUUUUAUUUAUAAAAAUUUAAUAAAAAAUAUUUUUAUAUUCAAUUUUAAAUAUAAACAAUAAUGAGAAUAUUAGUAUAAUAAAUAUUUUAUUUAAUAAAAAUUUAAUAAUUUUUUUAAAUUUUUAAAAAAAAUAAUUUCAAAGAAUUAAGCAAAUAGAUUUUUUGACUGUUUAUUAAAAACAUUGCAUUUAGUUUUUAUAAAAUGUAAUUUCUGCUCAAUGAAUUUUUAAAUUGCUGUAGUAUUUUAACUAUACAAAGGUAUUGUAAUAAGACUUUAAUUGAGAGCUAAGAGAAUGGAAUUUCAAAAAAUUUCUUUUUUGAAAUUAAAAAUUAAAGUUAUUUUUCUUUGUGAAGAAACAAAAAUGAAAAUUAAGGACAAGAAGACCCUAUGAAUUUUUAUUUUAUUAUACAGUAAAAUUGUAUUAGUAUAAUUAAAUUUAAUUGGGGCGAUUAAAAAAUAUAACUAACUUUUUAAAAAUUUAAAAUGAUCCUUUAUUAAAGAUAUAUUGGACAAAUACUCUAGGGAUAACAGCGUAAUAAUUUUAGAUAGUUCUUAUAGAAAAAAUAGUUUGCGACCUCGAUGUUGGAUUAGGAUACUUAUUUAAUGAAGAAGUUAAAUAAAGAAGUUUGUUCAACUUUUAAUUCCUACAUGAUCUGAGUUUAGACCGAUGUGAAUCAGGUUGGUUUCUAUCUUAAUUUUAAUUAAAUUUUAAUUAGUACGAAAGGAAUUUUAAAAUUUUAAUUUAAAAAUAAAUUUAACAGUUUUUGCAUCAAUUUUUGGACUU
rnacentral:rRNA from 1 species